ACGGAGGAUCCGAGCGUUAUCCGGAUUUAUUGGGUUUAAAGGGAGCGUAGGUGGGCUGGUAAGUCAGUUGUGAAAGUUUGCGGCUCAACCGUAAAAUUGCAGUUGAUACUGUCAGUCUUGAGUACAGUAGAGGUGGGCGGAAUUCGUGGUGUAGCGGUGAAAUGCUUAGAUAUCACGAAGAACUCCGAUUGCGAAGGCAGCUCACUGGACUGCAACUGACACUGAUGCUCGAAAGUGUGGGUAUCAAACAG
rnacentral:rRNA from 1 species